UCUUUGGAUGGUAAUGUAGUGGACUACCAUGGCUUUUACGGGUGACGGGGAAUUAGGGUUCGAUUCCGGAGAGGGAGCCUGAGAAACGGCUACCACUUCUAUGGAAGGCAGCAGGCGUGCAAAUUACCCAAUCCCAAAACGGGGAGGUAGUGACAAGAAAUAACAAUACUGGAUAAUUUUCCGGUAAUUGGAAUGAGUGUAAUGUAAAGUCCUUAACGAGGAUCAAUUGGAGGGCAAGUCUGGUGCCAGCAGCCGCGGUAAUACCAGCUCCAAUAGCGUAUAUUAACUUUGCUGCAGUUAAAAAGCUCGUAGUCGAAUUUCUGGUCUGACAAGCUCGAGCCACCCUAAUGGGGUCGCGUCUCGACAUGCUUGCGGACCAUCCUUCUGGAAAGUGUCUCUGCCCUUAACCGGGUUGGUUGCACGAUUCAGAUCAUUUACUGUGAGCAAAUGAAAGUGUUCAAAGCAGGCAAUGCAUGCUUGAAUCUUUUAGCAUGGAAUAAUAAGAUAGAACUCGGGUUUUAUUUUGUUGGCCAUAAACUUGAGUAAUGAUUGAAAGGGAUAGUUGGGGGUGCUCGUAUUCAGGGGCCAGCGGUGAAAUGCAAUGAUCCUCUGAAGACGAACUAAUGCGAAAGCAUUCACCAAGGAUAUUUUCUUUGAUCAAGAACGAAAGUUGGGGGAUCGAAGACGAUCAGAUACCGUCGUAGUCUCAACCAUAAACGAUGCCGACUAGCGAUUGGUGAUCGUUGGAACCAUGACCUCAUCAGCAGCUUCAGAGAAAUCAAAGUCUUUGGGCUCUGGGGGGAGUAUGGUCGCAAGGCUGAAACUUAAAGGAAUUGACGGAAGGGCACCACCAGGAGUGGAGCCUGCGGCUUAAUUUGACCCAACACGGGGAAACUUACCAGGUCCGGACAUUGUUAGGAUUGACAGAUUGAAGCUCUUUCUUGAUUCUUUGGGUAGUGGUGCAUGGCCGUUCUUAGUUGGUGGAGUGAUUUGUCUGGUUAAUUCCGAUAACGAGCGAGACCUCAGCCUAUUAACUAGUUGUGGGAAUCCUCGGAUUUCUUUCAAGCAGCUUCUUAGAGGGACUAUCGGUGAGUAGCCGAUGGAGGUUUGAGGCAAUAACAGGUCUGUGAUGCCCUUAGAUGUUCUGGGCUGCACGCGUGCUACAAUGAUGCAUGCAACGAGUCAUACUUUGAAUUCCCUUGGCCGAAAGGUCUUGGUAAUCUUUUGAAAUUGCAUCAUGUUUGGGAUUGACCAUUGUAAUUUUUGGUCACCAACGAGGAACUCCUAGUAAGCGCAAGUCAUCAACUUGCAUUGAUUACGUCCCUGCCCUUUUGUACACACCGCCCGUCGCUUCUACCGAUGAAUGAUCCGGUGAACAGUUUGGACGAGUUGGUUUUAGUGGGAAACCACGGAGACCGACGAGGAAGAUCUGUAAAUUGUAUCAUUUAGAGGAAGAAGAAGUCGUAACAAGGUU
rnacentral:rRNA from 1 species